rnacentral:rRNA from 1 species
AGUGAACGCUGGCGGUAGGCCUAACACAUGCAAGUCGAACGGCAGCACAGUAAGAGCUUGCUCUUACGGGUGGCGAGUGGCGGACGGGUGAGGAAUACAUCGGACUCUACUUUUUCGUGGGGGAUAACGUAGGUAAACUUACUCUAAUACCGCAUACGACCUACGGUUGAAAGCAGGGGAUCUUCGCACCUUGCGCGAUUGGAUUAGCCGAUGUCGGAUUAGCUAGUUGGCGGGUGAAAGGCCCACCAAGGCGAGGAUCCGUAGCUGGUCUGAGAGGAUGAUCGGCCACACUGGAACUGAGACACGGUCCAGACUACUACGGGAGGCAGCAGUGGGGAAUAUGGGACAAUGGGCGCAAGCCUGAUCCAGCCAGACCGCGUGGGUGAAGAAGGCCUUCGGGUUGUAAAGCCCUUUUGUUGGGAGAGAAAAGCAGCAGGUUAAUACCCAGCUGUUCUGACGGUACCCAAAGAAUAAGCACCGGCUAACUUCGUG